rnacentral:rRNA from 1 species
GACGAACGCUGGCGGCAUGCCUAAUACAUGCAAGUCGAGCGAACAGAUGAAGUGCUUGCACUUUUGACGUUAGCGGCGAACGGGUGAGUAACACGUAAGGAAUCUACCUAUAAGCGGGGGAUAACAUUCGGAAACGGGUGCUGAUACCGCAUAAUAUCUUCUUCCGCAUGGAAGAAGAUUGAAAGACGGCUCUGCUGUCACUUAUAGAUGACCUUGCGGUGCAUUAGUUAGUUGGUGGGGUGAUGGCCUACCAAGACGAUGAUGCAUAGCCGACCUGAGAGGGUGAUCGGCCACAUUGGGACUGAGACACGGCCCAAACUCCUACGGGAGGCAGCAGUAGGGAAUCUUCCGCAAUGGGCGAAAGCCUGACGGAGCAAUGCCGCGUGAGUGAAGAAGGCCUUCGGGUCGUAAAACUCUGUUAUAUGAGAAGAACAAAUUGUAGAGUAACUGCUACAGUCUUGACGGUAUCUUAUCAGAAAGCCACGGCUAACUACGUGCCAGCAGCCGCAGUAA